rnacentral:tRNA from 1 species
GGCAGUGUUGCUUAGUGGAUAGAACAUGGGCCUGGAAGUCAGAAGGACCUGGGUUCUAGUCCCGGCUCUGCCA